UUUCCGUAGGUGAACCUGCGGAAGGAUCAUUCAUAAUAAGUGUUUUAUGGCACUUUUUUAAAUCCAUAUCCACCUUGUGUGCAGUGUCAGGGUUGAUUUUUCUCACGAGAGGAUCAGCCCCAAACAUCAACUAUAUCUCAACUCUUUGUCUGAAAAAUAUUAUGAAUAAAACAAUUCAAAAUACAACUUUCAACAACGGAUCUCUUGGCUCCC
rnacentral:misc_RNA from 1 species